rnacentral:rRNA from 1 species
GUGGGGAAUUUUUCGCAAUGGGGGAAACCCUGACGAAGCAACGCCGCGUGGAGGAUGAAGGCCUUCGGGUUGUAAACUCCUGUCGACCGGGACGAAAGCUGUCUGACCCAAUACGUCGGGCAGUUGACUGUACCGGUGGAGGAAGCCACGGCUAACUCUGUGCCAGCAGCCGCGGUAAUACAGAGGUGGCAAGCGUUGUUCGGAAUUACUGGGCGUAAAGGGCGCGUAGGCGGUUCGGUAAGUCCUGUGUGAAAUCCCUCGGCUCAACUGAGGAACUGCACGGGAGACUGCCGGGCUUGAGUUCGGGAGAGGGAAGCGGAAUUCCGGGUGUAGCGGUGAAAUGCGUAGAUAUCCGGAGGAACACCGGUGGCGAAGGCGGCUUCCUGGACCGACACUGACGCUGAGGCGCGAAAGCUAGGGGAGCAAACGGGAUUAGAUACCCGGGUAGUCC